rnacentral:rRNA from 1 species
GUCUGGAUCCCAGCCAAUUUCUGGGGUGCACGAUGACGUUUUUUUCGGAAAUGUAAAAGUUGCUUUUCAAGUUGGGGAAAGAAAAAAAAAUGACGGGUACCCAACAGAAGAAGUGACGGCUAAAUACGUGCCCAGCAGCCGCGGUAAUACGUAUGUCACAAGCGUUAUCCGGAUUUAUUGGGCGUAAAGCGCGUCUAGGUGGUUAUGUAAGUCUGAUGUGAAAAUGCAGGGCUCAACUCUGUAUUGCGUUGGAAACUGCAUGACUAGAGUACUGGAGAGGUAAGCGGAACUACAAGUGUAGAGGUGAAAUUCGUAGAUAUUUGUAGGAAUGCCGAUGGGGAAGCCAGCUUACUGGACAGAUACUGACGCUAAAGCGCGAAAGCGUGGGUAGCAAACAGGAUUAGAUACCCUGGUAGUCCACGCCGUAAACGAUGAUUACUAGGUGUUGGGGGUCGAACCUCAGCGCCCAAGCUAACGCGAUAAGUAAUCCGCCUGGGGAGUACGUACGCAAGUAUG